AGUAGAGUGGCAAACGGGUGAGUAACGCGUGGGUGACCUACCUUCGAGUGGGGGAUAACCUUCCGAAAGGAGGGCUAAUACCGCAUAACAUCCCGCUCUUGGACGAGCGGUGAUCAAAGCUGGGGAUCGCAAGACCUAGCGCUUGUUGAGGGGCCCGCGUCCGAUUAGCUUGUUGGUGGGGUAAUGGCCCACCAAGGCUACGAUCGGUAGCCGGCCUGAGAGGGCGGACGGCCACACUGGGACUGAGACACGGCCCAGACCCCUACGGGAGGCAGCAGUGGGGAAUUGUUCGCAAUGGGCGAAAGCCUGACGACGCAACGCCGCGUGGAGGACGAAGAUCUUCGGGUCGUAAACUCCUGUCGAGCGGGAAGAACAGCGUGCCGGUUAAUACCCGGUGCGCCUGACGGUACCGUUAGAGGAAGCCCCGGCUAACUCCGUGCCAGCAGCCGCGGUAAUACGGGGGGGGCAAGCGUUGUUCGGAUUUACUGGGCGUAAAGGGCUCGUAGGCGGCCAUCUAAGUCGGUUGUGAAAUCCCUCGGCUCAACCGGGGAACUGCGACCGAUACUGGGUGGCUUGAAGCCGGGAGAGGGAUGCGGAAUUCCAGGUGUAGCGGUGAAAUG
rnacentral:rRNA from 1 species